UUCUUAAUUCUUAUGACUCUUUUCUUAUUCUUUCUUCUUGUAAUUUCUCUUGUUUUCAUAUUUGAUUCUAUUGUGUAGGAUUAAUCAAAGAUGAGACUUCAACAAAAUCACCCGAUUCUGGUUGAUCCGAGGUUUGUAUCUAACCAAUUCACAACUUAAUCGUUUUAUAAUUUGUGUGGUUGUUGAUCUUCAAAUUGAACCCAGUUCGCAAUUCAAAUUAAACAUCACCCCAAAAGAUAUUUGUAAAUAUGAUGACAAUAAUUUCCGAUUAUAUACUGAUAAUCAUGAAAAACCAAAUACAAAACUUGGGGUUUAUACAAUUUCAAAAUCGAAUAUGAAUUUUGUAAGUUUGUUUUCGUUGAAGCAACUAUGCAUCUCAAAUUCAGGUUUUAAUAUGAAUCAAAGAGACCUUACUUUCGAAAUCUUUUUUUUUUUUUUAAGAUGGAACUUUAUCCCAAAUUGACAUAGAGAAUCAAUCACAAAGAUAAGGAACUCAAUCUAAUCCUUUCAUAGGUUUAUAGUUUAAACACUCUUUUAUUUUUCUAACUAUGUUUCAAAUGAAAACAUAUCCUCAAAUCAAUGAAGAUGCUGCAUGGUCUAAUAUUGUUGUAGGAUGGUCGGCAAUGACACCAGAAUAAAAAGGUAUGAAGAAUCCAAACUUGAACUGUCCAUGAAGUCUUCUAAGGCUUAACAUCUCGGAGGAAUGCCAAGGAUACAACCAUUGGCAAUACUUUUUGUGUGUUUAGCUACUUUUAAAGGAGGAAUGGUAUUUCCAAAGCUAACCAUCCAUCCUGAAGUACUAUCGCACACAAUAUGUCGAUCAAGGAUUUAAACAUAAUAAAAGACGUUAGCUAAAGAUCGCUAAAUGCAGGAUAUGUGUGUAAAUUGCAUCUUCUUUAUGUUAGACAACAUGCAUAAACACAAAUCUUGAAUAUUCACUGUAUAUUUCCACUUAUGUGAGCUAAAGAUCCCUAAAAUCAGUUUUGUAUGAUCAU